UAUAUUUCUACACAUGCUCUUCAUUUUACUAGAUGGUUCAGAUUUGUUUACCCAAACAAACCAUUUUAACUAUGUUCAAUAAUUACAUAUUACAUCUCCAUUACAAUCCACUUUCCUUUACUAGAAUAAUUCAAUAUUAGAAAAGGGAAGAAGAACAAUUCAAGUUAUAAACUUUUGGAAAAUUAAGUGAAGAAAAACUCAAAAAUAAUAUCCCAUCGAAUCUUCACUAUUUUUUACUUUAAUAGAAAGGAAAAGAGAACAAGUUUGAUCACCAGUGUAAUUUUAAGUUAUGAGUUUUUUAACCAUUUUUUUAACCAUUGAUCAAUCUCAACUAAAGUAUAAUCUUUUACAUUUUUCAUCUUCCAAUUCUAUCUUCCUCUUCAUAUAUGAAAAUUUAAUACACCAUCGUAAUUUCCAAUAAGAUUCAACUCGUGCUUCUGGCUACAUGAGUAAGAAGUAAUAUUUUUAGCUUCGUAUAGACUAGAGAAUUCUCCUGGAUUUCAAUUAAUGUGAUAAAGAAAUAUCAACUUCCAUUUUUUCGUACUUAUUAGCCUAUCAUGUGUACAAUUUCAACAUGUUUUUUUCCAGAUACUUCAAAUCUUCACCUGAUAUACCGUUGAAGGUACCCGCUAGUUUCUAUUUGAGUUUUAACUUGACGAAAAAAUUUUGGUGUGCAAUUUUGUAGAUCUGAAAGGGAAGGGAGGAGGUUGGGAAUUUGUGGAAAGGAAAGGAUGAUAAGGUUUGACUGUGGUUAAAUGGUUAGUUUUAGCAAAUAAUUUGAACUGUUUAUUAAUUUGGGGGAAAUUUAAUACCAAGUGGAGGAACUAGACAGAUGGACCACUGGAGGGGAGCCGAGUCCCACAAUGGGAAAUGCCCACCAAAAUGCACAAUAAAUUGGAUUUGACUCCCCUAAAGUGGCCCAUUUGUCCACUUCUACGGUGGGGUUUAAUUUUACAACAUGUGUCCCUCAAAUUAAUAAAUGAUUCUGAUUAUUUCUAAAACUAACCAUUUGACCACAAUCAAACAUUAUCAUCCUUCUCUCUCCACAAAUUUCCAACAUUCUCCUUUCCCUUUCAGAUCUACAAAAUUUCACACCAAAAACUUCCGUCAAUUUAAAACUUAAAUCAAAAUUAGCAGGUACCUUCGAUGGUACAUGUGAAGAUUUGAAAUAUCUGCAAAAAAAAAUUGCUGAAGCUAAUAAGGAUGAAAAAAAUGGAAGUUGAUGGUUUUUUAUCAUGUCACCUGAAAUUCAACAGAAUUCUCUAGUCUAUAUAAAGCUAAAAAUAUUACUUCUUACUCAUAUAGCCUGCUAUACAAGUUGAAUCUUAUCGGGAAUUACGAUGAUGUAUUAAUUGGGUUGAUAUAUUUUCAUAUAUGUAGAGGAGGAUAGAACUAGAAGAUGAAAAAUGAAAAGAAUUAUACUUUAAUUGAGAUUCAUCAAUGGUAAAAAAAAAUGAUAAGAAAAAACUCAUACCUUAACAUUUCUUUGGUUACCAAACUUGUUCUCUUUCCUUUCUUUUAAAGUCAAAAAUAGUGAAAAUUCGAUGGGAUAGUAUUUUGCGUUUUUCUUCACUUGAUUUUGCUAAAAGGUAUAACUUGAGUUGUUCUUCUUCCCUUUUCUAAUAUUGAAUUAUUCCAACAGAGGAAAGUGAAUUGUAAUGUAGAAGUAAUAUGUAAUUAUUGACCAUAAUUAAAAUGGUUGACUAUUACUGAAAACCGAUCCAUUUUGCAACAAGCGUAGGCUAAAUUCAACAAAUACUUAAGAUAUGAAGAGGAAUUAUGGAGACACAAUGCAGGUACUCAUUGGUUAUCAGAAGGAGAGAGGAACACUAGAUUUUUUCACAACUUAGUAAAUGGAAGAAGGAAGAGAUUAUAUUUGCACAGAAUAAUAAAAGAAUAUGGCAAUUGGACAGAAGGAGAAGAAAAAUUGAUAAAUGAAGCUAUUUCUUUCUAUCAAAAAUAGUUCACUGGAGGGGCUACUCUGAUGAAAUGUCACUAAUGAACCAUAUUCCAUGUAUCGUAGAUGCUGGAGACAAUGAUAUGCUGAAUGAAUUAUCUACAGUAGAAGAGAUUAAAAGGUAUAAUGUCAAAGCAAUUUAAUUCAAGUUUAGAUGACAUGGAAAAGAGCAGAUCUCCUAACAUUCGAUUUAGAAAAUGCCAAAACAGGAACUACAAAUUGACGGACAACACAAUAACAAACACAAUUAGUCAAGGGACUGGAUAGUAUUGCAGCCAUAAAUGGCUAAAGAUAGGGUUGACAUAUACAAAACAGUAGGGGUCUAAGAGACGAACCUCUAGAUCUGGACCUUUAGCAAUGGUAUCAACCUUAUUAGGGUUCAACCUGUUGAGGAAAAGAUCAAUUGGUAAGUUUUCGAAGCUCUGUUAACUGAUUUAAUUUAGUGUUAGAGAGAUCUUACCGUGAAGUUAAUCGAAAAUGGAGAUAAAUGGAGCUGAAGAACUCUUCUUUGGUAUCAAUUUCAUGACGUUCGUGAGGGCUUUGAGCGACUAAAUAAAAUUCGACCAAGAUCCAACUUAUAUCUCCUUUCAAUUGAUGCUUUUGGGUUAAGAGAUCUCAAUAGCCAACAACUUGGAUUGAUUAGAGAAGAAGAAGAUGGAAUAAAUUGAAGUAUAAUAAAUUAGAAGAGUGGCUCUUCAAUUUCCUGUUUUGUUUACUAGUUUUUUUGUUUUUGUUAUUUUAUUUGGGUCUUGAUUUAGACCUCUUGUACGAUUUUUGCUUAAUAAUAAAUGGCUCAUAGCCUUUUCGUUUUGUU